UACGUAGGGUGCAAGCGUUGUCCGGAAUUAUUGGGCGUAAAGAGCUCGUAGGCGGUUUGUUGCGUCGGCUGUGAAAUCCCGAGGCUCAACCUCGGGUCUGCAGUCGAUACGAGCAAACUAGAGUGUCGCAGGGGAGACUGGAAUUCCUGGUGUAGCGGUGAAAUGCGCAGAUAUCAGGAGGAACACCGGUGGCGAAGGCGGGUCUCUGGGCAACAACUGACGCUGAGGAGCGAAAGCGUGGGGAGCGAACAGG
rnacentral:rRNA from 1 species